CACGUAGGGCGCAAGCGUUGUCCGGAAUUAUUGGGCGUAAAGAGCUCGUAGGUGGUUUGUUACGUCCGCUGUGAAAUCCUAGGGCUUAACCCUGGGCUUGCAGUGGAUACGGGCAGACUAGAGGUAGGUAGGGGAGAAUGGAAUUCCCGGUGUAGCGGUGAAAUGCGCAGAUAUCAGGAAGAACACCCGUGGCGAAGGCGGCUCUCUGGAACGCAACUGACGCUGAGGCGCGAAAGCGUGGGGAGCAAACAGG
rnacentral:rRNA from 1 species